rnacentral:rRNA from 1 species
AUUGAACGCUGGCGGCAUGCCUUACACAUGCAAGUCGAACGGUAACAGGUCUUCGGAUGCUGACGAGUGGCGAACGGGUGAGUAAUACAUCGGAACGUGCCCGAUCGUGGGGGAUAACGAAGCGAAAGCUUUGCUAAUACCGCAUACGAUCUACGGAUGAAAGCAGGGGACCGCAAGGCCUUGCGCGAACGGAGCGGCCGAUGGCAGAUUAGGUAGUUGGUGAGGUAACGGCCCACCAAGCCUACGAUCGGUAGCCGAACUGAGAGGUUGAACGGCCACAUUGGAACUGAGAAACGGUCCAG